UAAUAUCUUCAAGGCGCAUCGUAAA
rnacentral:miRNA from 1 species